GGAUAGCUUAGUGGGUUAGAGUGUGGUGUUAAUAAUGCCAAGGUUGCAGGUUUGAUCCUUGUUUGGGACA